GCGGAGGAAAAGAAACCAACAGGGAUUGCCCUAGUAACGGCGAGUGAAGCGGCAACAGCUCAAAUUUGAAAUCUGGCUUCGGCCCGAGUUGUAAUUUGCAGAGGAAGCUUUAGGCGCGGCACCUCCUGAGUCCCCUGGAACGGGGCGCCACAGAGGGUGAGAGCCCCGUAUAGUUGGAUGCCUAGCCUGUGUAAAGCUCCUUCGACGAGUCGAGUAGUUUGGGAAUGCUGCUCAAAAUGGGAGGUAAAUUUCUUCUAAAGCUAAAUACCGGCCAGAGACCGAUAGCGCACAAGUAGAGUGAUCGAAAGAUGAAAAGCACUUUGAAAAGAGGGUUAAAUAGCACGUGAAAUUGUUGAAAGGGAAGCGCUUGUGACCAGACUUGCGCCGGGCUGAUCAUCCGGUGUUCUCACCGGUGCACUCUGCCCGGCUCAGGCCAGCAUCGGUUCUCGCGGGGGGAUAAAGGCCCUGGGAACGUAGCUCCUCCGGGAGUGUUAUAGCCCGGGGCGGAAUGCCCUCGCGGGGACCGAGGUUCGCGCUCUGCAAGGAUGCUGGCGUAAUGGUCAUCAGCGACCCGUCUUGAAACACGGACCAAGGAGUCAAGGUUUUGCGCGAGUGUUUGGGUGUAAAACCCGCACGCGUAAUGAAAGUGAACGUAGGUGAGAGCUUCGGCGCAUCAUCGACCGAUCCUGAUGUUCUCGGAUGGAUUUGAGUAGGAGCGUUAAGCCUUGGACCCGAAAGAUGGUGAACUAUGCUUGGAUAGGGUGAAGCCAGAGGAAACUCUGGUGGAGGCUCGCAGCGGUUCUGACGUGCAAAUCGAUCGUCAAAUCUGAGCAUGGGGGCGAAAGACUAAUCGAACCAUCUAGUAGCUGGUACCGCC
rnacentral:rRNA from 1 species